rnacentral:lncRNA from 1 species
ACAGGUACGGUUUGGAGUGCCUUUUUCGAUACUACAGUUACGGCCUAGAGAAGAAGUUCCGGCUGGACAUAUUCAAGGAUUUCCAGGAGGAGACUGUGAAGGACUACGAGGCUGGCCAGCUCUAUGGAUUGGAGAAAUUCUGGGCCUUCUUGAAAUAUUCCAAAGCCAAAAAUUUGGACAUUGACCCCAAACUGCAAGAAUACCUCGGCAAAUUCCGCCGUCUAGAAGACUUCCGAGUGGACGUGAGUGAAAGUCUCUCCUGACUCCUAACUGUCCUGUAAAGAGCGUCCCUCUGCUGUCUGUGACGUCCACAUGACAGUGGACAGCAGCAGGUGCUCACUAGAGUUGCUGUUUCCAGCUUCUCUCCUAUUGUCACAGCCUACCUGCUUAUCCAGGCCCACUACUGCUAGUUUGUGUCAGGAUCAGGACCAGCUACUCUGAUAAAUAUACUUGUUCCUUCUGGGAAAAGAAA